rnacentral:rRNA from 1 species
AGAGUUGAUCAUGGCUCGAGGACGAACGCUGGCGGCGUGCCUAACACAUGCAAGUCGAGCGGAGUCAGUAAGAGGAAGUUUCGGAUGGAAUCUUGUUGAUUAGCGGCGGACGGGUGAGUAACGCGUGAGCGACCAACCUUGCAACAGGGGGAUAACGGACCGAAAGGUUCACUAAUACCGCAUGAGACCACGGUGUUGCAUGACACAGAGGUCAAAGGAGCAAUCCGGUGCAAGACGGGCUCGCGUCCGAUUAGGUAGUUGGAGGGGUAACGGCCCACCAAGCCUAUGAUCGGUAGCCGACCUGAGAGGGUGAUCGGCCACAUUGGAACUGAGAUACGGUCCAAACUCCUACGGGAGGCAGCAGUGGGGAAUAUUGGGCAAUGGGGGGAAAAACCCCCUGACCCAGCAACGCCGCGUGAAGGAAGAAGGUUUUCGGAUUGUAAACUUCUGUCCUUGGUGAAGAGAAGAAGACGGUAGCCAAGGAGGAAGCCCCGGCUAACUACGUGCCAGCAGCCGC